GAGUUUGAUCUUGGCUCAGGAUGAACGCUGGCGGCGUGCCUAACACAUGCAAGUCGAGCGAUCUUCUUCGGAAGAGAGCGGCGGACGGGCGAGUAACGCGUGGGUAACCUGCCCUGUACACACGGAUAACAUACCGAAAGGUAUGCUAAUACGAGAUAAUAUGCUUUUAUCGCAUGGUAGAAGUAUCAAAGCUUUUGCGGUACAGGAUGGACCCGCGUCUGAUUAGCUAGUUGGUAAGGUAACGGCUUACCAAGGCGACGAUCAGUAGCCGACCUGAGAGGGUGAUCGGCCACAUUGGAACUGAGACACGGUCCAAACUCCUACGGGAGGCAGCAGUGGGGAAUA
rnacentral:rRNA from 1 species